UACCCACUCUUGUUUAACUCCAAAUGCCCACAGUUAGAGCUUAAACCCUAGGCCAAAAGAUUUAUUUCGCAAAAGGAAAAAAAAAGAAGACAAACCCCAUGAAACCAGAGAGCAAAGAACGUGAGGGAGACACACAACUCCAAUUUCUUGAUUCCCAAGCUUCAAGACCAACUAUGCACCCGCAAUUCGUCGUUUCUCUCUCCUUUGACCACGUCAACUCGCCAUUUUUCUCUUCUUAAAUUUUUAGGUAGUUCAUUUCAAUUAGUGUAGCUUGAAACCAUGAGGAAAAUCAAGCUAAUUGGGCUUGCGUCAAAAUCUCUGACCCGUAUAUUUUAUUCUCGUGGGUCUUAUUGCAAUUUUGUUGAAGGAAUGCAACACUCAUUAUUAACUCAUAAAAGAAGAUUUUACAGUUAUAGAUAUGUAGCUGGAAUAAGUGGGAAUUCAAUUGGUGAAGCAGUAUAUACAUUUCCAUUAUCAAAGCGUUAUUUUCAUGCCACAGGGUCGUUGCGUGCAAGUGAAAGGAAUUACUAUGAACUUCUGGGUGUCUCGAAAAAUGCCAGCCGUGAUGAGAUUAGAAAGGCUUUCCAUGAGUUGGCGAAGAGGUACCACCCAGAUACGAAUAAGAACAAUCCUUCUGCAAAGAGGAAGUUUCAAGAGAUAAGAGAUGCUUAUGAGACUUUGGGAGACUCUGAAAAAAGAGCACGGUAUGACAUGAGCCUACAUAUGGAUUCGGGCUAUGCAAGGCAUGAUUCAGAAGGCAGGGGUUCAGAUAAUGUACAUAAUGAUCAUGCUGAUGCUGAGGCAUUCAGAGAUGCUUAUAGAACUCACUUCUCAGAUUCAUUUCACAAAAUAUUUACUGAGAUCUUUCAAGAUGACGUGGAACAUUUUGCGGCUGAUAUCCAGGUUGAGCUCUUGCUUUCAUUCUCCGAGGCAGCAAAAGGUUGCACGAAGCAGGUGUCUUUUGACGCAUACAUCCCCUGUGAUUCAUGCCAUGGGCAUGGCUAUCCUAUUGGUGCAAAGACUAGAACUUGUCCCACUUGUGGAGGGAUUGGGAGGGUAACCAUUCCUCCUUUUUCGUCCACCUGCACCACUUGUAGGGGGUCAGGAAGAGUUAUAACUGAAAAAUGUGGGAACUGCAAAGGACUUGGGGUGCUUGAAGGUGUCAAGGAAGUAAAAGUUUCGAUUCCGGCUGGCGUGGAUUCUGGUGACACUAUCACUAUCCCUAAAGCUGGUAAUUCUGGGGGACUUGGAGCAAUAUCUGGAAAUGUGUACAUAAGAUUAAAGGUCGCUGAUGAUCCAAUUUUUACUAGAAAUGGUGCAGAUCUUUAUGUGGACGCUAAUAUAAGCUUUAUACAGGCUAUGCUUGGUGGCAAGGUGGAGGUACCAACUCUAACAGGAAUGACUUCAAUGGAUUUUCUGUUUGUUCCAGAUACCCAAGGGAGUACAGCCAGGACAGGUUCUGGUGCUAAGAGGAAAAGGAUUGCCAAAACAUGGAUUUCUUGUCAAUCGUGGUGAUCAACAUGUCCGCUUUUGCAUAAACUUCCCCAAGAAGGUAAAUGAACGCCAAAGAGCAAUUCUUGAGGAGUUUGAGGAGGAGGAAAUCACUCGUGAAGAAGAAUCUUCUGAAGCUAGUUGGCUUCAUCAGCAGCUAUCUACUGGUUGAACUUUCAGGUGGCAACAAAUUUUUGAUCUCGGAAGUAGGCCUAAAUUUAUGCUCGAGCUGUCUCUGCUCCUGCUGAUUCUGCUCUUCAUGAAGAAAAUCAUGCUUUGAGGCUAUGUCGGCAAUCCUCGCCAUAUGUUGGCUCAUUGUUUUCACUUUUCAUUCAAGAUUACCAGUUGGAGGGAUUCCCAAUUUUCGGUUGCUGAGCCGUCUGCCAUUAUUCUUCUGCUAUGACAGGAAAUUCUUCCUGAUGCUAACCGCUUUGCAAAUAAAAAUGUUGUAUAGAAAUUUUGACAAUCUAUUACAUGAUAAAAUAGAUCAUAUUUUCUAUACUUGUAGUUGCUCUUCACUGCCCUUCUGGCUCUUAGCCGGAGGCCGGAGCUCUUGUAAACUAUUCUUUUAAUCAUGUAACGACACCAUUGUACAGUGGUAUUCAGUGUCCAAGCAACUAGUCAAAUGUGAACCCAUGGAAAUAUUCGUUAUAGAAGGCCACUAAUAUCAAUUUCGUCA